rnacentral:rRNA from 1 species
GAGUUUGAUCCUGGCUCAGAAUCAACGCUGGCGGCGUGCCUAACACAUGCAAGUCGAACGAGAAAGUGGAGCAAUCCAUGAGUAAAGUGGCGCACGGGUGAGUAACACGUGACUAACCUACCUUUUCGUGGGGGAUAACCUAGGGAAACCUGGGCUAAUACCGCAUAAUACCUACGGGUCAAAGCAGCAAUGCGCGGAUUGAGGGGGUCGUGGCCGAUUAGCUAGUUGGCGGGGUAAUGGCCCACCAAGGCAGUGAUCGGUAUCCGGCCUGAGAGGGCGCACGGACACACUGGAACUGAAACACGGUCCAGACUCCUACGGGAGGCAGCAGUGAGGAAUUUUGCGCAAUGGGGGAAACCCUGACGCAGCAACGCCGCGUGGAGGAUGAAGUCCCUUGGGACGUAAACUCCUUUCGAUCGGGACGAUUAUGACGGUACCGGAAGAAGAAGCCCCGGCUAACUUCGUGCCAGCAGCCGCGGUAAUACGAGGGGGGCAAGCGCUGUUCGGAUUUAUUGGGCGUAAAGGGUGCGUAGGCGGUUUGGCAAGUCUUAUGUGAAAUCUUCGGGCUCAACCCGAAGCCUGCAUAAGAAACUGCCGGGCUUGAGUAUGGGAGAGGUGAGUGGAAUUUCCGGUGUAGCGGUGAAAUGCGUAGAUAUCGGAAGGAACACCUGUGGCGAAAGCGGCUCACUGGACCAUAACUGACGCUGAUGCACGAAAGCUAGGGGAGCAAACAGGAUUAGAUACCCUGGUAGUCCUAGC